rnacentral:rRNA from 1 species
GACGAACGACUGGCGGCGCGCUUAACAACAUGCAAGUCGAGCGAUAACCAUGCUUCGGCCAUGGGGGACAGCGGCGAACGGGUGAGUAACACGUGGGGCAAUACUUGCCCUCGGCACUGGGAUAGCCCGGGGAAACCCGGAUUAAUACCGGAUAGCCUCUCGAGCUCUCGGGCUCGUGAGAAAAGAUAGCUUCGGCUUUCGGCUGAGGAGGAGCCUGCGGCGGAUUAGCUUGUUGGCGGGGUAACGGCCCACCAAGGCGACGAUCCGUAGCUGGUCUGA